GCCUAGGUAGCUCAGUUGGUAGAGCAGCGGACUGAAAAUCCGCGUGUCGGUGGUUCGAUUCCGCCCCUGGGCACCA
rnacentral:tRNA from 2 species